GGGUAACCGGAAGGCAUAUUUAGUGGCGAACGGGUGAGUAAUGCAUGAGAACGUAUCCUCAAGAGGGGGACAACAUUGGGAAACCGAUGCUAAUACCCCAUAAGCCGGGAGGUAAAAGGAGCAAUCCGCUUGAGGAGCGGUUCAUGUCCUAUCAGCUAGUUGGUGAGGUAACGGCUCACCAAGGCGAAGACGGGUAGCCGGCCUGAGAGGGUGAACGGCCACACUGGAACUGAGAGACGGUCCAGACUCCUACGGGAGGCAGCAGUGGGGAAUAUUGGGCAAUGGGGGAAACCCUGACCCAGCGACGCCGCGUGAGGGAAGAAGGCCUUAGGGUCGUAAACCUCUGUUGUGUGGGAAGAAGAGCGUGACGGUACCACACGAGGAAGUCCCGGCUAACUACGUGCCAGCAGCCGCGGUAAUACGUAGGGGACGAGCGUUGUCCGGAUUUACUGGGCGUAAAGGGCGCGUAGGCGGUCAUUUAAGUCAGCUGUG
rnacentral:rRNA from 1 species